GGGAGUGCUAGCUCGUAUGAAGACCUUUUUCUUGGCUGAUAUGGAUUCUUUUUUAAAUUUUAAAAUUUUUUUAAAGGUUGAAGAUGGACUUCUGAAGGAGAUGAGGAUCUAAAAAAAAAUAUGAAGAAGAAACUAUUUUUUUUCUCUUCCCAAACCCUUAGGACCAAAAUCUUAGAAACUAAUUUUUUGCGCACACCUAAAAGAGAGG
rnacentral:lncRNA from 1 species